GACGAACGCUGGCGGCGUGCCUAAUACAUGCAAGUAGAACGCUGAAGGAGGAGCUUGCUUCUCUGGAUGAGUUGCGAACGGGUGAGUAACGCGUAGGUAACCUGCCUGGUAGCGGGGGAUAACUAUUGGAAACGAUAGCUAAUACCGCAUAAUAGUAGAUGUUGCAUGACAUUUGCUUAAAAGGUGCAAUUGCAUCACUACCAGAUGGACCUGCGUUGUAUUAGCUAGUUGGUGGGGUAACGGCUCAACAAGGCGACGAUACAUAGCCGACCUGAGAGGGUGAUCGGCCACACUGGGACUGAGACACGGCCCAGACUCCUACGGGAGGCAGCAGUAGGGAAUCUUCGGCAAUGGACGGAAGUCUGACCGAGCAACGCCGCGUGAGUGAAGAAGGUUUUCGGAUCGUAAAGCUCUGUUGUAAGAGAAGAACGAGUGUGAGAGUGGAAAGUUCACACUGUGACGGUAUCUUACCAGAAAGGGACGGCUAACUACGUG
rnacentral:rRNA from 1 species